UGGCUGUCGUCAGCUCGUGUCGUGAGAUGUUGGGUUAAGUCCCGUAACGAGCGCAACCCUUGUCCUUAUUUACCAGCACGUUAUGGUGGGCACUCUAAGGAGACUGCCGGUGACAAACCGGAGGAAGGUGGGGAUGACGUCAAGUCAUCAUGGCCCUUACGGCCAGGGCUACACACGUGCUACAAUGGUCGGUACAAAGGGUUGCCAAGCCGCGAGGUGGAGCUAAUCCCAUAAAACCGAUCGUAGUCCGGAUCGCAGUCUGCAACUCGACUGCGUGAAGUCGGAAUCGCUAGUAAUCGUGAAUCAG
rnacentral:rRNA from 1 species